UACGUAGGGCGCAAGCGUUGUCCGGAAUUAUUGGGCGUAAAGAGCUCGUAGGCGGCCUGUUGCGUCCGCUGUGAAAUCCCGGGGCUCAACCCCGGGCCUGCAGUGGAUACGGGCUGGCUGGAGGCAGGCAGGGGAGAACGGAAUUCCUGGUGUAGCGGUGAAAUGCGCAGAUAUCAGGAGGAACACCGGUGGCGAAGGCGGAUCUCUGGGCCAUUACUGACGCUGAGGAGCGAAAGCGUGGGGAGCGAACAGG
rnacentral:rRNA from 1 species